AUAAAUAUGGGAGUUAUGACAUCUAACCUCUAUUAUGGUCACUUGGGUUAGAAGGAGCUAGUAGUGAAACCGACCCACAUGAUU
rnacentral:ncRNA from 2 species